rnacentral:rRNA from 1 species
CCUACGGGUGGCUGCAGUGGGGAAUUUUGCGCAAUGGGCGAAAGCCUGACGCAGUAACGCCGCGUGGAGGAUGAAGGCCUUCGGGUUGUAAACUCCUGUCAGGGGGAAAGAAGGACUCGAGGAUAGAACACGUCCCCGGGUUCUGACGGUACCCCCAAAGGAAGCCCCGGCUAAUUCCGUGCCAGCAGCCGCGGUAAUACGGAAGGGGCUAGCGUUGUUCGGAAUCAUUGGGCGUAAAGGGCGCGUAGGUGGUCUUAUGUGUCCGUCGUGAAAGCGCACGGCUCAACCGUGCUUGGUCGGCGGAAACUGUAAGACUUGAGGCUGGGAGGGGCUGGAGGAAUUCCCUGUGUAGCGGUGAAAUGCGUAGAGAUGGGGGAGAACACUCGUGGCGAAGGCGUCCAGCUGGACCAGUCCUGACACUGAGGCGCGAAAGCGUGGGUAGCAAACAGGAUUAGAUACCCUGG